GUUGCCAGAGCGAGGAAGGGAGAGGAAGAGUGAAGGAUCGAUGAAUCUGAAAAGGGGAAGGGGCCAGAGGCAGGCCAGGGAGGGGGGCGGCUUGGGGGCGAAGUGACCGAGCAGGAGAAGGAGGGGGGCAGAAAACGCGGAGAAGAGACAGUCUCUGCGUCCAGUUCAAGCUCUCUGCCUGCCAGAUCAACCCCCAAGUUUUGCUCCUGCUUUCCCGGGAAAACAAGACUGCCCGGGACCACCAACAGAGGUGCAGAGAGUCCAGGAGGGAGGUGGAAAGUGGGGAGGGGGAAAUCUCUCUUUGCAAGCCCUUCUUGGGGUCCCCCCAAAAAUCUGCAGCCCGGCCACGCGCUCCGUCCUGGAAGAGGCUGGAAGAGGAGGAGCGGCAGCAACAACAGACUUGGAUAAGACACCACUACCCCACUCCCUCUGCAGAGAGAAACAGAGAGAGAAAUCCAUCGGGUUGGGGAAGGCAGGAGAGCUACACCAGGAGAACUUCCACCUGUUUCCAGGGGCUCAGGUGAGUCUUUUGUUUCGCUUGCCUCUGCAGCUUUAGCCCGGGGUGCUAGCAUAGGAAGACUUCAAGGCAGGGGACACUGCAGACAUUCCCCCACCUCCCAAAAAAGUCAUAACUUUGGAAGUACAGGGGUACCUCUGGUUACGUACUUAAUUCGUUCCAGAGGUCCGUUCUUAACCUGAAACUGUUCUUAACCUGAAGCACCACUUUAGCUAAUGGAGCCUCCUGCUGCUGCCACACGAUUUCUGUUCUCAUCCUGAAGCAAAGUUCUUAACCCGAGGUACUAUUUCUGGGUUAGCGGAAUCCGUAACCUGAAGCGUCUGUAACCCGAGGUACCACUAUAAAGGAAUGGAACUUCCCUCCUCACUGACAUCCCCCUUCCGUUUACUUGCAUUCAGGAAAGUUGUCAAGUCAUUAUUAUUCUGAGCUGGUAUUUCAGUUGGGGUGUGGUGCAAUGUACCUUCAUGAAGAUUUCACGCUGUGUUUCCUAGCUGCUGCCUGAGAGACAGAGUUUUGUUUUUAAAGCUGCUCUUUACGAAACUCACGUUAUUGUUGCGACGAGGAAGGGCAGGUGGGAAGUUUGACGUGAUAAUUGUGUGACUAUAUAACCGUCUGAAGAAAGGAAGCGAGGGGGGAAUAUCGGACCUUAAAUGUCCAGAUUCUAAACUGAUCUCACCAAAUCUCUGUAUCUGUAUCUCCCUCCCUUCCUGCCAUGGGCAUCUAUCUAUCUGCUCCAAAGUCCUCUGCCCACAUUUCUUCGCUUGUCCCCAUAUUCCAUUUCUAAAUUCCGCCUGCCUGUCACUCAACCGCUCUGCUUGACUUGCUCUUCCAUCCACGCGUCCAACUCUUUUAUCCUUAGCCAUCCCUCGUUGGACGGCUCCGAUUCUCUGCCCAUCGCUCCACCAGUCCGCUAAGUCGGACUGCCGUCGAAUGCGCUCCUGUCCAGGGGCGGUUCUGAGUAGGAUUGCAGUCCUGGGGAUGGCAAUUAAAUUCCGUUUGCAUUCCGACGAGGAGCUACCCAGUUCGCGCUUCUCAAAACCCGGUUAGUCUUUGAAAUUUGCACCCCUGCAAAUUUCAAAAGACCCGGUUCUUCAGCGGAACAAUGCGCACCGAAAUGCACUUGUGCGUUCCCAAAAAUGCAUGCGUCCGUGAAGCUGCCGUACAGAUGGAAACAUAUGGGGAAUUUGCUUGUGAAUCAAAACUGCAUGCAGAAAUGUGUGUCUCAGGAGAAAUUCUCCCUCAAGCAGUGGCAAAUUUUUCACAAGGAUUGAAAUGCGGAAUUUAAGACGUGAAAUGAGCAAAAUGGGACUGAUUUGUCACUCCCUAGACCAGGCUUCCUGGGGUCUUUAAUCCUAAGCUUUGCUCUGUGGUGUUGGUAAUUCCUACAGAGCCAAUCUGUUAUUCUCUCUGCCACUCGUCUAGGUCUGGAGCUAUCGACAGAAAUGUCCAUUUCCCUGUUCUCCCACUUCAGUGUCGACAUCCUUGUCUGAGAUUAACUUUCCUUUCCUGACCCCCUUUCAAAAUCUAAGCUUGUGUCUCUUUCCACCUUGGAGACACGCUAUUCCUCUCUUGACAGCCUUCCUGAAUUUUCCCGCCUUCUGCUUCCCCAAAAUUUUGACUCUUCCUCUUCAUCCAUCUAUGUUCCUUCCGCUAGAUCACCUGCACAUUUAAAAAGACAGGCGUCCAUCUGUCCGUCCUACAGCCAAGACUUUACUUGCCUCUGCUGUUUUUCUGAACUCGGCUCUUCAUUCCAAACCGAUGGCCGGCAGGUUAGUAGACUUUCAUUUUUAACUAAGCAAAAAAAGAAAAAAAUCAAUUGUGGUUUUAUUUGUUUACCCGCUUGAUUUAAAUUUGGGGCAAGGAAAAGGUGGCUGAGGUCAACCCUGUGGUUGAGAAAAGCGCAGGGUGAUUGUGGUUUGUUUUGCAGUUCAGGGAGAACACUCUGCAGAUGCUCAGAGGCACAGUCUUCUGAGGAGUCAGACCAAAAUGAUAUCCAGGGCCGAAUUCGCCCCAUCAGCAAUGGUGGUGGUUGCCACUGUGGAGUGUUUUAACUUUAUGUCAAAGUUUUUAAAACUGGGUUGCGGGGAGAGAAGGGGGCUCCGUUCAUGUCUUGCGAUGACAUCGUGGUUUGGAAAUAGUUUGGGUGCGAUCCAGCAGUGGCUCAGGACAAUUUAAGUCCUGUUGGCUUCAGAGGGCGAGUCAAAUCUUUCCGAUUUAAAUCAAUGAGACUUUCUUCUUUCUUUUCUUCUGUCCUCCCCACCCCCUUGUUCCCUGUGCCUCUGCAUUUUGAAUAAUUUUGGCUUCGGACCACCCACGACAGAGAAUGCUUAAAAAAGAGAGAAAAAUGUGGGGAAGGAGUUCAGUGUGGCAAAUGAACGGUGACGGCGGGCUUGUAAUGUAGGUAGUCGUAUCGCAUGCAGAUCUUCCCAAACCGAGCUGCCCUUUUAGGGAGAGAGGAAAUGGCCUUAUUUAUUUAUUUUAUUUUGCAGAGAAUCAGGCCCUACCUAGAACUCAAUAUUACCAAUACUAUCUCCAAGGUUUCAGGCAGAGAGUUGUCACCUGGAGAUUCCGGGAACAGAACUUGCGAACUUUUCGCGAGCGAAUUGUGCACUCCGCACAACUGAGUUUUCUAUUUUUUCAAAAGCCACCUUUUUAUAGCGCCUUGUCAAAGGGUGUGCUUUCGUUACCAUUGUCUCUCCUCUGAUCGCCAGAGGUUAGUAACCUGAUAGGGGAGAGAAUGACAUUCCUCAGAGCUUUGGAAAGCCUAAAGCAGCUGAUUUUAAUAUGUGUGUGAGAGAGGGGGUGCGUCCUCUCUCCCCCCCCCAAGUACUUUUCCAUCCAAGCCUGAGAAAGUAGGUGGAGACGUUUGCGUACAGUACUUGCAUUCUUAUAUAAGAAUCCAAGAACUGCUGGAUCGCUGGUGUUCGCUGAGCCCAGAACGAGGCUUCGGGUGAUGGUCAGCCGGACGAUUCCAAGACUCUCACAAGCAAAGCAGGAAAACAGCUCCCUUCCCUCGUAGUCUUUCCUCCUCCUGUUGCCCAGUGCUGCAGAGGUAGACUGCCACUGCACUUGGAGGUUUCACUCAUCUAUCGAUUCUUUAAAGGGCCGGAUAAAAAGCCCUCUAAUAAAGAGCUGGGUGAACCUGUCACUUUAUCUCGGCUUCACAUUCCCCUCCCUGCCAGCCUUUCUUAAGUUUCUUUUGAACCAUUUCCAGCAUCAGUUUGCAAACCGUUUUUAAAAUAAAAUAUUCUUAUUUGCAACGGAUUUCUUUUUAAAGCCAGUGAGAAAGCUUUCCGAUCUUUUCGCAUUUGUGUCUCCAGCGGCUGCCCCUAGGUUGGGGACCUGAAAUCUCAGGUUCUGGGAUACACCUGACUUUCUGGGCCCAAUCCAGCCGAGCAAAGAGGAAACGUGUCUGCUUGCAUUGAACCGCUUCCUGUUGUCAAAGGCCCCAUUAUUAACUAUCCCUUUUUCAGAGCUGGAGGGGAGCACACACACACACACACACAAACAAAUAUUUGGCAUUCUUUUCAUCCAAUGGCUCUGUGGAAGAAAGCGACGGGGUUUGUGCUUGUGAGAAAGACUGUUUACCACCAGCAAUAUCAUGUUAACAAGGUCUUGGGGCCGACCCAGCUGGCUUAAAGUGAUUGCAUAGUGCAAUUUCCAUGCGUGUUUACUCAAAAGUCAGCCCUACCGAAUUCAGCAAGUCCUAAGGGAGCAGGCCACUCACUGGUCACUAAUUGAGCCAAAAUUGCGGUUUUACUCCUGAUGUGUAAAGCCAUAAAGGCUAGAGGUGGAGGCAUGGUUCUGAAUGGGUGUGGCCAAAGACAGGGGCAGUUCUAAAUGGGUGUGGCCAAAGACAGGGGCAGUUCUAAAUGGGUGUGGCCAAAGACAGGGGAAGUUCUAAUGGGUGUGGCCAAAGACACGGGCAGUUCUAAAUGGGUGUGGCCAAAGUCAAAGGAGGGGUUCUGAACAAGCAUGGUCAAAGUCUGAGAGAUGGUUCUGAAUUUAGUUUAUUUUCUGUUUAUUAAAUUUCUAUACUGCCCUUCAUCCGAAAAUCAGUGGGCGGUUUACAAUAUGAAAACGCAAAAAUAUAUACAGUAUGUCAUAAUAACAAAUGAAAAGAAUACAGUUUAAAGGCUAGAGAUUGUUUGCCAAAGGCUUGGGAGAAGAGGAAUGUUUUUCCCUGGCACCUAAGUAAUGAAGGCAUCAGGUGCGCCUUCCUCGGAAGAGCAUUUCACAAGUGGGGAGCCACUGCAGAAAAGGCCCUGCUGUUGCCCUCCAGGCCUCUUGUGGAGAAGGCACACAAAGAAGGACCUCAGAAGAUCUGGGUCUGGGUUGGUUAUAUAUGGGGAGAGGCAGUCCUUGAAGUAUUGUGUGGGGUGUUUCAAUAGCUGAGCUUUUUUUAGGGAAUCCCCAAAGUUGUUGAGCUUUUCUUACAAAAAGCGCCGCUUUCCAGAAAUUCCCAAUGGAUGUCAAUUCUGCCUUUGAAAUCUCAUAUGCCAACCCUAGUACUGGGGUCCGGAGCCUCAUAAGAGGUCAAAACCAUCACUUUGAAUUGGGCCCAGAAACUAAUUGGCAGCCAGUGCAGUCAAACCAGGAUCGGUGCAAUAUGCUCAAACCAUCUUGCCCUGGUGAGCAACCGAAUUCUGCACCCGCUGAAGUUUCCGAACCGUCCUCAGGGGCAGCCCCACGUAAAACGUCUUGCAGUAAUCUAGCCUAGGGAUUACCAGAACAUAGACAACAGAAUGGGUCUGGCCCAAGACAGAGGGAUGGUUCUGUAUGAGAUGGAGGGGCAGGGUCUUGUGGAUUCUGAAGGCCUUCCUUCACCUACCUGCCCCUUCCCAUCUCGUUAUGCAAACGAGAUCAAGCCGGUGAUUUUCCACGAUGAUUCCCGCCACUCUGGAAUUCCCUUCUGAGGGAGGGCCUCCCAGAUUGAUCCUUCCCAGCGUCGCCCCGUCCGCCAAGCUCCUACUUAUAUCAAAAGCCUUUUGUCUGCCUGUCUUGUGUGUGUUUUGUUUUAAAGGAGAAUAGAAAAUCUUUCACGGGUAUCUGUGGCUUUGUGGCUUGGCGGGAGAUCACUCGAGAACCUUGCACUGUGGCGGCGAAUUCCUUGAGCUCUGAGGGCGUUUCGGGAUUAGAUGUUUUAGCAGUUCCAGGCUUUUUGUAUAUAAUUGCAGCAUAUAUGUUUGGCUGUGGGAUUUUGCCCAGAGAGAAGCUUUGGCUGCAAUGCUGGAGUCUACAAUGCACGUAGAAAAGUGAUAUAUCAACACUGAGAAAAGGGUCCAAGACCAACAUUCCUUAUGUGUGUUUGUUUCUCCGCUUAACAUUGCUGAAGUUAAGGAUGACUCUCUCAGUUUUUAAGCAGUGCAGGCCGUGGUUGUUCUAGAAAUAUAGCCCUUGAAUCUUUGGCAACAUGCUCACCACACGGAAAUCCUGGGAACUCUAGUUUGUUGCUGGGAAUUGUAGCGCAGUGAGGGGUCAACUACAGCUAUCUGGAUUCUUUGGGGAAGCCAUAUGCUUUAAAUGCAAGUUGUGCGGACAUAGCGUUUGUUAUGUUGAACAGUUCCAUAGUACGUAUAUAUUUCUAUCCUUUGCUUUGAAUCACACACAGGCCACCACACACCCUCCUUUUGCAGACUGGUUAUGGAGGUGUGUUUUUGAUGUCACAGAUCCUUGCCAAUAGGUCCUCAUCACAGCUGUAACACAAACGUGGCAUAAAAGGAAUCUGCUUUUCAACGAAAAAUCUGGUUGAAUUUUCAUAGGGAACAGUGGCGAACCACAAGCCUGAGGGUCUCUCCUUUGCACGAGUCCUUCAGAGGCGACUUGCUGCUGUCCCUGAACUGUGGCUAGAAUCAUUGAGCUAUUGCUCAUGUCAAAAACCAAAUAUUGCCAGAGAUUCCCUUGAAACUCCCUGUAUUUGCACUAGAGGUUGCUAAUUUUGCAGAGGCAAACAUGGCCCUUCUAGAUUGAUGUCUGUGCUGAAAAACCUAUCCACUGGUUUGUGCAGCCUGAUUGCUACUUCAGGAAUUGGUGGACUAGCACUCUGCACAUGCAUAGAGGAACCAACCAAUAUAACAGCUCAGGACCGAGUCCUGGCACAGGUUCUGGGGCCAAAUCCUGAAGUCAUUCAUCCCUGCACCGUAGAUAUAGUGACGGUGAAGACAGAGAAAUGAUAUAAGGGAUGAUUUGCUUGCCUGAUGCACAGUUUGGAGAAUCAGAAACGAGUUAUGGGCCUCCAAACCAGCAGUAUUUUUCAAAUUCAUUUAUGGAAUUACUUCCGGCAUUAUCCGCAAUCCACCUUUCCACCGCCCGGUAGUAGCUGAGCAGUUUGUCACGGUUUGCAAGCGGCGUGCUGUCUCUUCCAGCACAACUGUUGGC